UGGGGGAUAUUGCACAAUGGGCGAAAGCCUGAUGCAGCGACGCCGCGUGGGGGAUGAAGGCCUUCGGGUUGUAAACUUCUUUUGCUCUGAACAAGGCAUGCCUUUGGGGUGUGUUGAGUGUAGGGGUUGAUUAGCGCCGGCUAACUACGUGCCAGCAGCCGCGGUAAUACGUAGGGUGCGAGCGUUGUCCGGAAUUAUUGGGCGUAAAGGGCUUGUAGGUGGCUGGUUGCGUCUGUCGUGAAAGCUCAUGGCUUAACUGUGGGUUUGCGGUGGGUACGGGCUGGCUUGAGUGCAGUAGGGGAGGCUGGAAUUCCUGGUGUAGCGGUGGAAUGCGCAGAUAUCAGGAGGAAUACCGGUGGCGAAGGCGGGUCUCUGGGCUGUUACUGACGCUGAGGAGCGAAAGCGUGGGGAGCGAACAGG
rnacentral:rRNA from 1 species